rnacentral:lncRNA from 1 species
AGAACACAUACUGUCCAGUAUGUAGGGUCUAUACAGCCCCUUCCAGCUAGAAGAAGCUAUAGAAGACAAAGACCAGCACUCUCUUAGUACCUGAAAAGGAAUUAUGAGGAUAUGUGUCUCUCAGGGGGAAAUGAGACAGGAGAUUAGGGCAUGGCAGAGCUGGCUGAGGAAGUAGGACAGAAGAAAAUCUAAAACCACCUCCAGAAAGAGAAUUCAGCACCGCAAAGCUCAGUAACAGAAGAAAGCAGAGAAAACAGCCAAAGGUUUCAGUUUUAAAAGCUUAUAGAUAAGUCAAGGAUCCAGCAACCAAACUGCAGAGUGUCCAAGGGGGUAGAAUGAAAACCUCCAGAAUGUCCAUAGAGAAUCUUCUGCAGGCAAACAAAAGGAGAGAAGGUGGAAGAGACUUAAUUCAGCUGUGAAAACGUAUGCAUUUCAAAAGCAACAAUAAUAGCAACAACAGAAAACAGCAAAGCAUCUACCACUGCUUCCUUUUUUAAACCAGAUUUGUACAAAAUAUCAAGGCUUAAGACUAUAACAGGAAAAUGGUAUUCUAC